UACGUAGGACCCAAGCGUUAUCCGGAGUGACUGGGCGUAAAGAGUUGCGUAGGUGGUUUUGUAAGCGAAUAGUGAAACCUGGUGGCUCAACCAUUCAGACUAUUGUUCGAACUGCAAAACUCGAGAGUGAUAGAGGUACCUGGAAUUCCCUGUGUAGGAGUGAAAUCCGUAGAUAUAGGGAGGAACACCAAUGGCGUAGGCAGGGUACUGGGUCAUUUCUGACACUAAGGCACGAAAGCGUGGGGAGCGAACCGG
rnacentral:rRNA from 1 species